rnacentral:lncRNA from 1 species
AGCAUCAUAAGAUAAUGGAUUUCUCCAUUAGGAGAAGAACGAACUUGAAUAAGAUUUAGUUUAUUGGAUGUUAUCAAUUACCCAUAUAUAGGAUAUAUAUAUACUUCUAAGAAGACAAUAUGAUUGUCAAUUGAGAAGAUCUUCCAAAAUUUUCAUGACUCCAUAGGAUGUAGUUGGAAAGAAAGAUAAGUCUUAAUUGUGUUAAGAUUUGGGGUUGUGUGCUAAUAAGCAAUAUUUGUUUGAGAAUUAUCUUGUGGAUAUCACUUCUAUAAACCAACUAACAAAUGUUAUUUUGUUGGGUAGUUCAUUGUAAUCCUACAAUAUGAUUUGCCUAAGCGCAAAUGAACGAGAGAUAGAACUCAAAGAAUAGGUUCUUUGAGAGACAAGAUGAUAAUCAACAAAUAUAACAACCUAAUUCCUACACCACAAGCUCCAAGGUAGUCGAGAAGAAUUUAUAAACUGUCUCAGUUGAAUGGUUUGAACUUUAUGACUAUGUCAUAGAGUUACACCUCUUAAUUCUAAGAAUGAAAAUCCUUAUGACUACAUUGAGUGUAUAUACGACAUAUACUCAAGGAAAUGGUAAAGUACCAUUUGACCCGAAAUAAUGAAACCUUCAUAGCUAAUUGGUAGCUUAAGGUGACUACAAUCAAAGAGAAUGGUUGACUUGGAAGAAACCAUCUUUGACGUAGUCUUGGUUUCAAUUAAUUCAAAGAUUGCUAGCUACAACUAAAUAGUGAUUCAAUGUUUGGACAUAAUAUGGGUUUUCGAAACCAUUAUUAAGAUAGUCUUGAUAAUAUAUGUCUAAAACUAUGAAUCACAAGACAUGUAAGUUGUAGAGAUCCAUCCAUCAUGAAUCUUAGCAAGCUAGUGGGAGCUAUAAGCGUCUUAUGAGAGAAAGAUCAAAUCGUUUGAUUUCUCAUAAAGAUGUAAAUGAAUCUUUUGUUUACUAGGUUUACAAAAGAUUAGUGGGAGUUAAUCAUGUUCCUAAAUUUGAAUAUAUAUAUACAUAUAUAUGAUAUAUUAAUUUUGGAAAUGAAAAGAAUACUUCUUCGUUAAAGUUAUGACUUUAAACAUUCUAUAACGAUAGAAUGUAUAUGGGAGACAUAGUCUAUAAACAUGGGAUGGAAAUCUAUAAUGAUAGAUUUCAAUGAUAUAAUUGGAUUAUAUCAAGCCCUAAUGAUAGACAAAAGAUGCUAGGAAGUUUCUCAUAUGAUGAUAAACUUCAAUAAGAAGAACAACUCUAGUAAGACUAGGAGGUAGCUCUUCUCAAAGGGAACGUACCCUUUGACUCCCAAAGAAAUAAUGCGUAAAUAGAAUCCUUUAUGUAUACGCAAAAAGGUGAUUUAUGUAUUUCAUAUUGUAUGAAAAACGUUGAUAUGAGUUGUACCAAGAUCGGUACAAGACGAUAUCAAUGCAAGCCCAGGAUUAGAACCAUGACAACUGUCAAGUGAAUCCUUACGUAUUUGAGAAAUAAUAAAUGAUGGAUUCCUCAAGAAUGAGGAAGAAUUAGAGUAACGUAAUGGAAGCGUAAAUGUAUUAGAUUAUGAAUCUAAUCCAUCAUUGGAUGUUUCUUCAUUAUCAAAUGAAGAGAUAAUCAGAUAUCUCUUUAUUAUGACUAAAGAGAUAUUUGGAUGAAAACAUUAAAAGUAAUGACUUUAGUGUGUUCCAUUGUGAAUUCAAAAAUAUAUUGCCAUAUAGAAGCUUACAACAAUGUUGUUUGGAUGAGAAAGUUCAUUCAUGAACUCUC